CAAGUGCUGCUUGCUACAGUGGUAGCCCUUGGCAAAGCCAUCAUCACCCUUGAUGUCAGGCCCAUUCACUCCCCCCACCCAGGAGUCCCACAUACUUUUUCUAAAAGAUUCCAAAUCAUUGCCUAGCCAGAGCUGAAGGUCUUCCCUGGGUGGAGGAGAAUGGCCUUCUUGCAAGUACAACUGUAAACACAGGACUUUAAACUCAGUCCAAGACUCCCUGAAGAUCUAUCUGCAAGGUGCUAAAUGGGCCAGGAAAAGAACGUUGUUGUUGUUGUUGUUGUUAUUGUUGUUAUCAUUGUGGUUUUUUAAGACAGAGCCUUGCUGUGUAGCCCAGGCUAGCCUGGAACUCAUAGUGAUCACCUGCCUCAGCCUCCCAAGUGCUGAGGUACAGGCAUGCGUGACCAUAUCGGGCAAGGACAUUCUUUAGAUAAUCAAUGACCUUUGCUGCCUAGGCCCUUUUUCCAAAUACUCAAACCCUCAUAAAAACCUCAACCUCAGCCAGGCAUGGUGGUGCAAACCUGUAAUGUAAUCCCAGCACUCAGGAGGCUGAGGCAGGAGGAUUGCCCUGAGUUGGAGGACAGCCUGGGAUAUUUAGUGAGUUCAGAGCCAGCCUGAACUACAUAGCAAGACUUUGUCUCAAAAAAAAAAAAAAAAAUCAAGACCCUCGUCUUACUGGACCCAUCACCACUCCAUCCCAUCAUCAGUUCCAGUGCAUCCAGUGAGCUCCCUCCUUUGCAAGACCCAGUCUCCAAACCCUUCCUUCCAGGUGCUCCAGGGUGUCCGCACAGCUGCCCUGUGUUAUCUCACAGGCAUCCGGAAAUUCACACGUCAAGCUGUCCUUCUCCACCUGUCCUGCAGUUCCUCCAUGUGGCACGGCUAUGUUCAGAUGUCCCCCCAAAGCCUCAUGCAGUCACAGUGGUGCUUUUUCAAGGACUCCCUGCUUUGGAGCCAGCUCACUAUGGACUGAACCCUCUACAAACCAUGACCCAAAUAAACCUUUCCUCCUUAAACUCUGGGAGUCAAAGUAUUUUGUCUCAGCAAGGGAGAAAAGUAACUAAGACACCAUCUUAGUAAGUGGUAACUUUUUCUUUGCUUCACCGAGAAUUGAAUCCAGGGCCUUUGCACUGAGCAAAAGCACUUUUUCUUUAUCUUAAUUUUUAGAUAAGUUCUCAGUAAGUCACUAAGUUAUCCAGGCUGGGCUUGAACUUACGAUUCUCCUGCCUCAGCCUAUGCCCCACCACACCUGGCCAGCAAGUGGUACCUCACUCACUUGCUCAAGCAGGAAACAGCAGUAACCUGAACCCUCUUCCCUCUGCCAGAUCCACCCGAACACAGCAGGAAACUCCCUUUUCUUCUCUGCUCUCAGUAUCCUCACUUGUUUCCCUAACAUGCAUCCAUUUCCCAGUCAGUGACCUACCUUUCUUUCUUUCAGUUCUUUGAGACAGUCUCACUAUGUACUAGUAGUUCAGGCUGUUCUUGAGCUCACUAUGUAACCCGUACUAUCCUCCUGCCUCACCCUUCUGUAGAUAUGAGAUAUUAUGAUUUUAAUUUGUAUUUCACUAAUUAUUUUGAUGUCACAUUUAAGAAACCAUAGCCAG
rnacentral:lncRNA from 1 species